CAGCAUUUCAUAGUUCGGGCCCAAUUUACAAUACAUCACAUUCUAAUAUGGGCUUACAGGAUUAAUUUGUCUAUGUUAAUACACAACUAAAUAUAUGUAAAUCUUACAACUGCGGAGUCACUAACUGUUUGGUAUACAUGGCUUUUUAUACACAUAAUUACAUAGUAAAAUAAUUAUGGAACUAGGAAAAUUUCUUUAUUGCCCUGCACCGAAGAAACAUAGCCUAAAUCAAAUUAAAGAAAAACUUACUUCCUGAAAA
rnacentral:lncRNA from 1 species